AUGAUCUUGUUUACAGGUUGUUUAAACAAAGAAGAAGCACAAGAAAAGUUGGAAGCUCCGCCAAACCAUGACGAUAACAACCCCUGUACACAAAUCUGCAACAUCUCAGACUUAUAUCGCGAUUCCGGACAACUGGCGACGUCCCAAGUCGCACGCACAGAGGCCGCCACCGGCAACUCCCUUCAUCAAAUCCUCACCGACCACUCCAACCCAACUCAAGCACGACACAAAAUCACCACCACCCCUUUAAUCCGCCGAAAAGGGACAAAGGAAGAGCUUCAGCAAAUAAGAAGGAGAUGA